rnacentral:lncRNA from 1 species
AAACGACAGUCGGCAGCUAUAGAUAGAUAAACGGAACGAUGAUCGGCAAUGGGAGAAGAAAAUUUGUACGGUACAAUUGGAGAAGAAAAUCGUCCAGAUUUCUGUGCAAAACUGCCCGGAGAAGUUGAUUUUUGUGCAAUACCGCAGCAAUCUGGGAGGAGGAAUGGAUCCGGCUCGUGAAACACAUUUAUCGGGCAAAGCACUUUGGUGUUGGCGUUUGCAGAGAAGAGGAUUUCAUCUCUUUUCAGUUUCUGUUCAACUAAGGUACUCCACCUCGCACCGUUGUGUAGAUAGUAUUGCAAACAUUUUUGCUUCUAAAUUAUUAUUUGAUUUUUUAUUAAUUGAGUUAUUGCUGGGAAUUGAAUUCUUGAAUUCCCGCGGUUUCAGGGGAUUAAAUUCUUGAGGUUUCGGGAAAUUGAAUUCUUGAAUUUCAUAUAGUUGGCAACAAAAUCUUGAGGUUUCGGGAAAAUAGUGAAUUUUCCCUAACAUAUGAAGAAAGCAAAAGUCGUCCUACACUAGUAAAUAAUAUUUAGAUUUCCACUGGAGACUAAUUUUACCAAUAGAAACCCGAAGAAGAAAACCAGAAGCUAUGCGUUAACCAUUGGCUUUUUUUGCCAUAUUACAACCAGUGUACUGGGCUAGUUAGAUUCUGAACACUGGCUAAUUUAGAACUUGAAUGACAAAUUGAAAACAAAAAGUGAAACAUAUCUCAAUAUUCAACAGGCAGAAACAGAAAGAGUUGCAAGGAAGCUUUAUAUUUGUUUAAUUUAUUGUAUAAAUGCAUAGACAUACAAGUUGGAUUUUGAUUCUUAUACUAUACAGCAGUAAUGUCUGUUACGUGUUGACACACCUGUCCGACCCACUGGGGCACAUGGCCCACUUCCACCGAACCACGUGGCAUGUUAUCCGAGGCCCCAUCCCAACAAGAACAAUAGCAUAUUAUAACAGCACCACGCAUGGUCCAAGUGCUACCACCAAAGCUAAUACGUUGAGGAGAUCUCAUAGUCGAGGCCCUUCUAUCCGAAGUCCUAAGGCUCUAAGAAGACUGCUCCCUAGAGAUCCGGUCUUACACAAAGAUCCUCCUUGAGUGAUUGAUGGGACGCCCAUUAUAGAGCACAAGUGCCUUAUCUUGUCAACGUAGUGGCAGAGCCGCCAAUAAUUAAUGUGUAGCAGGUUAGGAAGUCAAAUGCGACACCUAUAAUUGGACAUGUAAACUUACGAGAUAUGAUGCGAACCCCGUAGCAAUGGAAACUACAAAACCCACAACGAGAUUGAUACGGAACCCAAGAACGCUAAUACUUACCCGAUUUUGGAUCUUGAACCCCAAAAAUUGAACCAAGAAACCCUAGAUUAGCAAAAAAUCUAAAACCCCUUGAUUACAAUUAAAAGAACCCACAAUCCGAUUGUUUAGAAUGCCACAAGAAAUUGAAUCUUGAUAAGUUCCAAGAUUGUUCAAGAAGAACAAGAAAUUAAAAGAACAAAUUCUUUCUCUAUAAUAUUAUUCAAACAAUAGUUCUUACAAUGAAAAAUAUUCUCCUAUUUAUACUAAUGAGUAAAAAAGUCCAAAACCCAUCAAAUUAUGAUAAUAAGUUGAUUUCAUAAGAAUUCUAUUGAAACUAGGAAAUUCGGAAAAAAACGAAUUUUUUUUCAUGUUUUUGUUCUAUGCGGCCGCAUAGUUUUAAUCUAUGCGGUCGCAUAGAACAAUUCCCUGCCCCCAAUAUUAUCCCUGAGGCCAUCUAUACGACCGCUUAGAUUGUUUAACCAUGCGGUCUCAUGGAACAAUCAUCGGCUUCAUUUUCUUCCGUCUUUAUCACGUUGAUCCAAGUCCUUUUGGCCCUCGACUUCAACAUGAAACUUGCUCCAUUUUAUGCCCCGAACGUUGUGUCUUCAUUGACUUGCUUGACGAGCAAUCCCAUCGCUUCUUUCACUUGCUUCAUCCUCGAUCGCGUCAUCGGUCCACCUUCGACGAUCAACGGAUCCUUCCCAUGACUUGACGCUUGAGUUGUCUUGGUUGUUGACGCGCCUUGAUUCAUAUCAUCCCCUCCCUCUUCAAAAGGAUUCGUCCUGGAAUCUAAACCUGCAUCUAAAAGAGAAAGAUCAGCGACAUUAAAAGUAGGUGAAACAUUAUACUCAUCAGGUAAAUCCACUUUGUAUGCAUUGUCAUUGAUCCUCUCGAUGAUUUGAAACGGUCCAUCGCCUCGUGAUUGUAAUCUUGACUUCCUCUGUUCUGGAAAAUGCUCUUUUCUGAAAUACACCCAGUCCCAAUCUCCAGGCUCAAAUGUAACGCGUCUUCUUCCUUUAUUUGCUUUUGAUGCAAUCAACUUUCAUUUCUCUUCGAUCUGCAUCCUGACCUUUUCAUGGAGUGUUUUCACCAUCUCGGCUUUUCGUUUCCCAUCUAAGCUACCUCGUUCAUGCACAGGCAAAGGCAUUAAAUCCAUAGGUGAUAGUGGAUUAAAACCAUAAACAAUUUCAAAAGGAGAAAACAAAGUAGUAGAAUGUGUAGCUCGAUUAUAUGCAAACUCUAUAAACGGUAAACACUCUUCCCAUGAUUUCAGAUUUUUAUUGAUCACUGUCCUAAGUAGUUGAGUCAUAGUUCGAUUAAUUACCUCAGUUUGUCUAUCUGUUUGUGGGUGACAAGUUGUAGAAAAUAAUAACUUAGUUCCUAACUUACUCCACAGAACACGCCAAAGAUGACUCAAAAACUUCACGUCCCUAUCAGACACUAUACUUUUAGGUACUCCAUGUAAACGUACUAUUUUCCUAAAUAAUAAGUCUUUAAUAUUAGUAGCAUCGUUAGUUUUAUAACAUGGUAUGAAGUGUGCCAUCUUACUAAACCUAUCGACCACUACAAAUAUUGAAUCCCGACCCCUUUUUGUCCUAAACAAAUCUAACACAAAGUCCAUAGAUAUGUCUACCCAAGGUUCACUAGGUACAGGUAAAGGAGUAUACAAACCAUGGGGUUGAACCUUAGACUUAGCCUUUUUACAAGUUAUGCAUUUUCCACAUAUGUGUUCUACGUCAUGUCGCAUUUUAGGCCAAUAAAAUGUUCCCCUAAUAUGUCUAAAGUCUUUUGAACCCUGAAGUGUCCCAUUAAACCACCUCCAUGUGCUUCUCUUACCAAUAAUUCACGCAAAGAACAAUUAGGAAUGCACAACUUAUCUUCCCUAAACAAAUAUCCUUCAUGCCUAUAGAAUUUAUGAAAUGCACCUUUGUCACAUAAAGCAUAAAUACUAGAAAAAUCACAAUCAGAUUCAUACAUGCCCUUAAUAUGUUCGAAACCAAAUGAUUUAGUACUUAAUGAAUUUAAAAGCACGUACCUUCGAGACAACGAAUCAGCAACUAUAUUUUCGUUACCUUGUUUGUACUUGAUGAUGUAGGGAAAUGUCUCGAUAAACUCCAUUCAUCUCGCAUGUCUUUUGUUCAACUUACCUUGACCUCGCAAAUGCUUUAAAGAUUCAUGAUCGGUGUGUAUCACGAAUUCCUUUGGCCAUAAGUAGUGCUGCCAAGUCUCCAAUGCUCGAACAAGUGAAUACAGCUCCUUGUCAUAUAUCGGAUAAUUCAAUGCUGCCCCACUCAACUUUUCACUAAAGUAAGCAAUAGGUCUCCUUUCCUGCAUAAACACUGCUCCUAUACCUAUUCCUGAUGCAUCACACUCAACCUCGAAUGUUUUAUCAAAAUUUGGUAAUGCCAAAACAGGUACUUUACAUAGCUUAUCCUUAAUUGUGUUAAAUGCAAUUUCUUGAGAUUCUCCCCAAUGGAAACCUACACUCUUCUUUAUUAUUUCAGUCAACGGUGUGGUGAUGGUGCUAAAAUCUCUUACAAAUCGCCUAUAAAAACUAGCCAAUCCAUGAAAACUCCUAACUUCAGUUAUAGUCUUAGGUGUUGGCCAUUCCUUUAUAGCUUUUAUCUUUUCUUCAUCGACUUCCACCCCAUUAGCACUAACCACAAAUCCUAGGAAAACAACUCUAUCCAUGCAAAAUGUGCACUUUUUGAAAUUAGCAUACAGUUGUUCCUUUCGCAACACAACAAGCACACAAUUUAAAUGUUCUAAAUACUCAUCUAGGUUUUUGCUAUAGAUUAAGAUGUCAUCAAAAUAAACUACAAUAAAUUUCCCAAAAAAAGCAUGCAAAACAUGGUUCAUUAAACACAUAAAAGUGCUCGGUGCAUUAGUGAGUCCAAACGACAUAACUAACCAUUCAUACAAUCCAUACUUAGUCUUAAACGCCGUUUUCCAUUCAUCACCCUCCCGCAUGCGAAUUUGAUGAUACCCACUCUUAAGAUCAAUCUUAUUAAAAAUGCAAGCACCAUGCAACUCAUCAAGCAUAUCAUCUAGCCUAGGUAUUGGGUGACGAUACUUUACCGUGAUAUUGUUGAUAGCUCGGCAAUCCACGCACAUUCUCCAAGUCUUGUCCUUCUUAGGCACCAGCAAAACAGGUACAGCACAUAGACUCAUGCUCUCCCUGACAAAACCUUUGCUCAUCAACUCCUCCACUUGCUUUUGAAGCUCCUUCGUCUCCUUGGGAUUGUUUCGAUAAGCUGGUCGAUUCAGUAUGAUAGCUCCGGGUACAAAGUCAAUCUGGUGCUCGAUGCCUCUGAUUGGUGGCAAUCCACUCGGCAUCUCCUCAGGAAACACGUCGUCGAACUCCUGCAAUAAAGACUUAACCAAACUAGGGAAGGAUGUGUUAGAAUCCUCGAAAUUGAGGAGGGAUUCCUUGUACACUAACAAUAUCAUUUGCCUAUUAUCGCUCAUAGCCUUUUUCAACUCACUCUCUUUUGCAUAGAAGUUGACCUUUGACUUUUCUCUCCGCUCAGUUGAUUCUUUUUCUCUCCUCUCAACUGACUCUUUUUCUCUCCGCUCAUGUGGCUUCUCUCUCUUUCCUCCACUCUCAGCCACCUCACUAUUUUCUCUCUUAUUGAUGGUUUCACUAUUGCCUCUCCUUUUUCCUGACUCUUUUAUUCUCUUGUCUUCCUCACUUUUCAGCUUGAUUUGAUCUCCAUACACUUGUGCCGGUGUUAAUGGCGCAAGAGUAAUAGUCUUCCCAUCCUUGACAAAGCUAUAACGAUUCCUAUAUCCAUCAUGUGUGACCCUUCUAUCAUAUUUCCAUGGUUUUCCUAACAAGAUAUGACCCACAUGUAUAGGCACCACAUCACAUACUACUUUGUCACUGUAACUCCCAAUUGAGAAAUUAAUUAAAACUCUUUUAUUCACCCUAACUUCCCCACUUUCGUUCAACCAUUGCAACUUAUAAGGCCUAGGGUGUCUUAACAAUGCUAGUCCUAAUUUCUCCACUAAAGUUGUACUAGCUACAUUCGUGCAACUCCCACCAUCAAUAAUCAUCCUACAUACCUUAUCGUUGACGUAACAACGUGUGUGGAAUAUAUUUUCUCGUUGCUGCUCCGAAUCAUCCACUUUGACUUGAGUGUUAAGAGCUCUCCUUGACACCAACGAUUCCCCAACAGCAAACUCCAAUUUUUCUUCUUCUUCAACAUCCUCCAAUGCAGGCAUGUCCUCAAACUCUCCUUCACUUUCACUCACUACCUCUCCAUUAUCCAACAAAACCGUUACCCAUUUAUUUGGGGCAUUGAGAAGCAAUGUGCCCUGACCCCAAGUAUCUGAAAGACUUGAUGUCUCGAUUCCUUGAUGAUUGUGAAUCUGUUUUGGGUGCUGUUUUGCUAGCACUUUCUUCUUUCCCUUUCUGCCACUCAUUCCUACCUUUAGGUACAGCUUUAUCACCUUUGUUGUUGUUGUUCCACCCUGGCUUCCAAGAUGGAUUAACACUCGAAGUUCCUAACGGCUGCCUAGCUGCCCCUUUCCUCUUCAACUGUCUCUCUACCUUCAUAGCCACAUGCAACAUGUCUUCCAACUCCACUACAUUGGCAAUUUUCCUAUUCAACCCAUUCAAGAAUCGUGACAUGGUAGCCUCUCGAUCCUCCACUACAUUGGCCCUAAUCAUGAGUAUUUCCAUCUCCUUAUGAUAGUUCUCUACACUUUUCGACCCUUGAUAUAGACCUUGCAGUUUUUGAUGAAUCUCUCGAUAAUAGUGGCUAGAAACAAACCUCUUUCUCAUCAAUGACUUCAAGUCCUCCCAAGUGUUGAUUGGUCUUCCCCCACUCCUACGUUGUGAAGUAAUCACUUGAUCCCACCAUGAAAUUGCGUAGUCACUGAACUCCAAAACUGCUAACUUCACAUUUUUCUCCUCCGAGUAGUUAUAGCACUGGAAGAUCAUUUCAACCUUCCUUUUCCACUCCAGGUAUGCCUCGAGAUCACUCUUUCUUUUGAAUGAAGGAACUGUCAUUUUUAUAUUUCCCAAGUUUCCAUCCAACUCCUCCCCGCGUUCAUUCCGAACCCGUCUGUUGAACCUAUUGCCUCUAUUCAUCAUCCUUCCCAUCUCAACACCGUGAAAUUCAUCUUCGUCCAUGUCACUCCCAUAUCCAUACUCCUCUCGCCUUUCCCUCCUAGGCUCCCAUCUAUCCGGUCCUCUAGCAUUGGAUACAUCCAUUCGAUGCCCCCGACUAAGAUUGACCACCGAUGUAUCUAAUCUAUUCAUCCAAGCCUCCUGCUUCUCCAAUCUAUCUCUCACAUCUCCAAACGCCUUCUCAAACCUUUGCACUAAAUCCUCCGUUGCAUUGCUAUUAUUGCCUUGUCGGCUUGAGUUUGAUUCUGCUCUUUCUGACAUUCUAACACUAAAAUUUUAUUUUACUGCCUAACCAAAAGUCACUCGGAACACACACAAGGCUUUUACCCUCUAUUAAGCUCACAUCUCUGCCUUUUACCACUCAGUUCUUUUAACAAUUGCUUCUAGUAACAAUCAAUGAACUCAAUCAAUCAAUCAAUUCAUGUAGAAUUCCCCAAACUGGAUGUUACUCAAUAAUUGUAACAAAGGACUCAAAGAAAACUUUUAAAACUUGAUUUGAAUUGAAGGAAUUGAAUGAUUCAAUGUGUUCAAGUAAUUUAGAAACGAUAAUGAAUAAUAAAAGUUGGUAUUUGACGGAUCAAUAAUAUUUAACAAGUUUUUUUUUACUGUACGGAUGAACAGUACCGUAUGGAUGAACAGUAAAUUUUUUUUUAGAUCCGAAAAUCAAUAACAAAACCAACAAAGAAAAUAAAAACUGAUUCGGGCAAAAAUCGAGCUCAGAAACGGAAUUUGAAGAUUUUUUAUGAAACUUUUGGAUCAAAGAAUCAAGAAAACCUUUUGAACACAAGAAUACAAGGAAUUGAAAAAAAAAUUAGACAACAAAGGAUAUAACCUGAUUAAAUUUCAGCCAAAACUCUAAUACCAACUGAUGCGAACCCCGUAACAAUGAAAACUACGAAACCCACAACAAGAUUGAUGAGGAACCCAAGAACGCCAAUACUAACCCGAUUUUGGAUCUUGAAUCCCAAGAAUUGAACCAAGAAACCCUAGAUUAGCAAAGAACUUAAAACCCCUUGAUUACAAUUGAAAGAACCCACAAUCCGAUUGAUUAGAACGCCACAAGAAGUUGAUUCUUGAUAAGUUCCAAGAUUGUUCAAGAAGAACAAUUCAAUUGAAAGAAGAAAUUUCUCUCUCUAUAAUAUUAAUUCAAAAGUCAAGAGUUCAAAAGGUUCUUACAAUCUAAAGUAAUCUCCUAUUUAUACUAAUCCUUGAAUAGAAGUCAAAAGGAAAUAUAAUUCUAAUAAUCUAAUAAAUUCCUAAAAUAUUCGUUCAAUAUGGUAGGAAUUUGAUUAAGAAUGAAAUUCUAGUAAAAUAAGGAAAAAUGCAAAAAAAAGGAAAAUCGCGCCCAGAAAUGAACCAUACGGUCGCAUGGUUAUAACUCGUGCGGCCGCAUGGUAAUAAAAUUCCGGCCAUUGAAUUCUCGGUCUCAUGUCGUGCGGUCGCACCGUGCGGCCGCAUGGUUACACUGCUCACUCUCGUCUUCGGCUGCUUGUAACGCAUUGAUCCAUUUUGUUUCGGCCUUCGACCCGAACACGAAACAUGUCCCAUUUUGAGUCCCGAACAUGGUUACAUCAAUAGUUUCUUGAACGAGCAAUCACAUCACUUGUUUCACUUGCUUUGCCCUUGAUCGCGUUAUUGGUCCGCCAUCGACUAUCAACGGGUCUCGUCUCGCACUUGCCUUCGUCGGGCUCGAUUCCUGGAUCAUAUCGACAAUUAAACAACUGUGGGUGGCAGAUCAAGGUUGUUGGAAUGAAAGAAUAGCAAAGGAGUUGUAGAAUCAAAGCAAGAAUUACAAAGGAGUUUGUAGAAUCAAUUAAAGGCACAAUUUCUAUCACAAUUUUUAUCUAAACACAAAGAGAUUCUUGGCGGGAUUGAAAUCUGUAUUAAUUUUCGCUGCGCAGGUUUAAGUAGAUUCCCAACAAUAUUCACAUCUUCCACUUUUCUUCUAACUUUUUUAUUUAGACAUUCCUUUAAAACUUCAAGCUCUAUAUGUUCCUAGAUUAUAAUGAUUAAUUACUUUUGCGUUCUACUUCGUACUACUCUAUUUUAGUUGUUUGAAAACAGUCCUUAUUUAAUGAAAUUAAUUCUUUAUCACAUAUGCAAUAUUAGAACCGCUGAAAAUGCUUCAUAUAGGUUCAAAAAUGAUGAUCUUCCACUUUUCUUUGGACUUUUUUAUUUAGAUAUUCCUUUAAAACUUCAAGCUCUAUAUGUUCCUAGAUUAUAAUGAUUAAUUACUUCUACGUUCUACUUCGUACUACUCGAUUUUAGUUAUUUGAAAAUAGUCCUUAUUUAAUGAAAUUAAUUCUUUAUCACUUAUGCAGUAUUAGAACGCACUGAAAAUGCUUCAUCUAGCUUCAAAAAUGAUGAACUAGAAAUUAAAUUUUAUAUUUUUGUAUUAAAUUAUACAAACUCAUUGUUUAAUCUUUAGGCUGUCAAUAAAUAGCAUCAUUAAAUAUUAGAAAGAGCAAAUAACAUAAUGAUAACCUUAAAUUUCCUUAUUGCUUUAGUUUGGAUGUUUAUAGUUUGAAUGUUUUAAAAAGUGCAAUUUAUGCUAUGUUAGUUAUCAUGCUUUUACAUAUUGUGAAUAGGUUAAUGUCUUAAACAAUUCUAUGUAGGCAUAUUUAUUUUACUUGAAAGUUUAGUUUCCACGUGUGUAUGAUGUAAUAUAUGUGCUAAUAGCCUUUUUUUCAAUUCUUUUAGUUCAUGUUGGUUACCUUGGGCUCCAACUAUUUGAUAAGUUAUCUAAUUGUUCUCAUGGAUGUUUCGGAAACAUGUUCUAAUGGAGUGACCGGUUCUUUGAAUUUCAAAACAAUGUCCCAUUGCCAACGAUAGAACCAAAGGCAAAGGGAUAGGCGAAAUCGACUUAGAGCUAGAUGCAAUGAUCGUCACAAGAGGAUAAUGAUCCCAUGUCAUCUGAAAUAAAUACUUCCAGCAUUGAAAAAUGGAGCAAUCUAUAAUGCACCAUGACUUUUAGGCUUCUACUUCAAACCAAGGGACGCAUGAUAUUUCCAAUUUUGCAUUAGGAAGUAGUUUUAAUGUACUGAACAUAUCAACGACUUCAUAUAUAUUACCGACAUAAAAUAGCUAUAAAUAUUGUGGUGCAAGAAAAUUUUAUAGAGAAAGUAAAGGUUUCUGUUGCUCUAACGGAAAAGUUCAUCUCUGUAUACCUGAUUCACCAACUGAACUAUACAACUUGUUCACUUCCAAAGAGCCUAAAUGUAUGGAAUUUAAAAAGAUUGUAAGGGAUAUAAUUAUCAUUUUGCUUUCAUUUCAUUUGGUGUCAAAACCGACA